UGCUUUAAAAUCUUAAGUUUUUGGAAUGGAUCUUAGUAUUUUAUUAACAAGUUUAAAAUUAGAAAAUAUUUUACCUAGUAUUUUUAGACCAUUGAUGACAUCUGUAAAACGAGUAUGUCUCACUUAGUUUCAUACGAAAUAACUCAUAGCUAUAAACUAAAAGAUUAAUUUUUGACUCUUUAACCCUACUUAUGCUUUCGUAUGUAAC
rnacentral:lncRNA from 1 species